rnacentral:tRNA from 1 species
GGUAUAUAGCUCAGUGGUAGAACAUUUGCCUAGUAUGCACAAGGCCCUGGUUUUGAUUCCUAGUACUG